UUCAAAGUAGUCGAUUUCUUUAUAUGUAAACGGCGGUUUCGAUGAAGUCAUCGGGUUUUCGAAAAUAUAUAGAUGUGGCCAGACGUUUCAAUCGCGCAAUUUAUUUUCAAUGAAAAGAAAUAGUCCGGUUGUUCAACUCCAAGACAAAUUUCUUUAACGCAGAAAAGAGACCAAGCAAUUCAUUAUGGAUGAACCUGGCCCAAGUCAUGCAGGUUAUAGCAAUGGUUUAGCAGGAUUGCUGCAAAUGAGAUAUGGAGAUAAAUAUUUCUUACACUCCACUACAGAAGG